rnacentral:lncRNA from 1 species
UGUUCGUCUACCCCGCCUCCUCGCAAACCCGCAACGGAUAUCACCUCGCAACACGCCGGAGAACGGAGAAGAUGACUGGAAACCCACGGCGUUCCUUUACGUGUUCAUGUGUUCUACAUCGGAGACCUCGCCAGAACCGGGUUCGCGUCGGGCUUAACUGUUGGCCACGUUUCACGUCUGUCUCUUUUCCACCCAAUAAACGCUACACCUAAAAGAUGAAGCCGAGGCCGGAACUUGUAUCGUCACCGGGGACUCACUCGUCUUGCGUUAGGUUGAUAGACGCAGUGAUCAAGAAAACAAGCUAGGAUGAA